GUUCUACUGCGGCGUUGGUGACUGCCAAUAACGUUUUAUGAUCUACAACUCUACUCAUAAGGGGAGCAAGAUGUUUCAGUGGCAGUAGACUGGGCAAGUACCCAGAAACUUAAAACUGGAGCCAAGAACCCCACCUGGAUUUAUCCAGGUCAAAAACUGAGGUAAGACGGCGUUGUGGGGAACUC
rnacentral:other from 1 species